rnacentral:rRNA from 1 species
UACGGGGGGGGCAAGCGUUGUUCGGAAUUACUGGGCGUAAAGGGCCCGUAGGCGGCCAACUAAGUCAGACGUGAAAUCCCUCGGCUUAACCGGGGAACUGCGUCUGAUACUGGAUGGCUUGAAUCCGGGAGAGGGAUGCGGAAUUCUUGGUGUAGCGGUGAAAUGCGUAGAUAUCAAGAGGAACACCUGAGGUGAAGACGGGUUGCUGGGCCAACACUGACGCUGAUGCGCGAAAGCCAGGGGAGCGAACGGG